rnacentral:lncRNA from 1 species
AGAAUAUUGUCAGAGCAGUGUUGUGUCUGUACCAGUUAAUUCUUUUCUCUUUUUAAUUCUACUUCAGAUCAGAUUAAUCUACUCAGAAUUUUUAAACAUAUGAUAUUAUGCUAUAGUUCUUGUAGAUUUUUUAUGUUUUGUUUCAUUGAGUACGUGAAUGACUGCUUCCAUUUCUUCUAAUAUUAUGGCUAAGUUAUGUGCUGCAGUUGAGGCAGCUCAUGCUUGUUUCUUAUUAAUUAAUUGUAAAGAAUUUUGUCAUGUUACAAUUAUUUCUGGUCUUGUUAAAACUUUCGAUUACAGAUUUUGAGUUGACUAUAGGUCAGAUUGUUAAAAUAUUUAAACAGAAUGAAAAGGAGAACUGAAUACUGUAUGGGUAAACUAAUUCCUGAUUAAAGUAUGUUAUAUCUGGCCUAGUGAAACUUUCCAUAACAGAUUUUGAGCUGACAUUAGGUCAGAUUCCUCGAAUAUUUAAAAUAGAACGAAAUGGAGAACUGAAUACUGUAUGGGUAAACUAAUUCCUGAUUAAAGUACUAUGCUUCUUUACUCAAAGCAGAAUGAAAUGGAGAACUGGAUACUGCAUAAGUGAAUUAAUUGCUGAGUAGAGUACUUUGCUUCAUUAUUUAAAGCAGAAUGAAAUUAGACAAAUAAAAUGACUAUGCAUGAAUGAAUUCUUGAUUAACGUAUGUAUCUUGGACUGACAAAGAAAGUCUAUUACUUAAAUUUAUUGAUAAAGUAUAUCUUAGUAGGUUUGGGUUGGAGUACUUGGCUCAGUACCUGAAUAAAUGAGCAGGGAUAAGGUGAUAAAACUGCUCGGUGGAGAACCCAAAGACAACUGCCACAUCCCAGAACUGACAAACUUUUUGUGACCAUGUAGAGCAGUUAAGCUGGAGAUUCAGAAAGUUUUCAUAAACUGAAGUUACCUACAUAGGUAAGAAAGAAUAACUCAUUUUCUUUUCUUCUUAUGCUAUUGUUCUAUUCGGUUUUAGUUGUAUGAGUACUUGAAAUUUUUUGUUUAAAUGGAUGUUCACACCACGUGACACUGAGCAAAUUCUUCCAUGUGUCCUUGCAUUAUGGUUAAGUGUGUAUGCUGGGAUUGAGGCAGAUGACUUUUUUCUGCCAAACUCUGACAAUGAGGCUGCAGAUUUGAACUUUGGGCUGCCUGCCUUGAUAUCAAUAUCUGAUUCUUUUUUCAUAUCCAUUUAUUAAGCCAUCUUGUCAGAACAAAAUUAUAUUUAGAGUAGUUAAAUUUUUUUAUUGCAGUUUGACUUUUAGGUGAGUCUAGAAGAGAGUGAAAUGGAGAACUGGAAAAAUGUGUAGAUGAGUGAAUUUCUCAUAAAAAUGGGGCAUUCCGAGAAUUGAACUCGGGACCUCUCGCACCCUAAGCGAGAAUCAUACCACUAGACCAAAUGCCCAUUUGCUGAUUUUUAUGUUUUCAGCUUCUGAUCAAUGUGGCUGAUUGGAUUUAAAGGGGUUAGUAGCUAUUGCUCCAAUUUCUCCUGUUAACUUCUAGGUGAUCCACCUUCAUCUAAAGGAGUGUGCUUUCUUGUUGCCCUCAACCUCCUAAGAUUUGGAUCUCACAGUCUGAACCCAAACAGCCUUUAUUUUUAUAUUGUUUAUCUUAUAGAUUCAUAAAUAUUAUGUAGCCUAGAUAUUGACUUGUUUGGUCCCUGGAUACCAAGAGCUAGAAAUUUAAGAUUGUAUUCUGACCAAUUAGUGGUGCCCAAGUCUCUGAGUUAUUGUCAUCUUCCUUUGCUUCUUUGGUUAGUCAGACUGGAGGAAGAUGAGAUUAAAUUUGAAGUCUUCCAUGAAUUGGUGGUUGUAUGAUUCAAAAUAUAUGGGAUUAACCAUUUUUUUUAAUCCCAUAGUUCUAAUAGAUUUACCUGUAUAAGUUCUUGAAUUUGUUCUUCAAAUGAUGUUCAGGUGAUGUGGCACUGAACAAAUUCUUCCAUGCGUUCUAGUAUUGAGCUUAGGUGUAAGUUCUGGGACUGGGAUAGAUGGCUUUCCCUGUUGAGUGCUGGCAACACGAUCACAGGAUUUAUUUUGGUCUGCUCAUAUUAAUUGCUUCUUUUUUCUCAUCAAUUUAUAGAUGGAAAAUCUUGUCAGAACACAGUUAAACCUGGACUAGUUAAAAUUUUCAUUGCAGUUGGACUUCAGGUCAGUCUACUUUGCUCAGAUAUUUAAAAUAGAAUAAAGUAGACAACUGAAAAUAUAUAGGUAAAUGAGCUUGUUAUUAAAAUGGGGCAUUCCGAGAAUCGAACUCGGGACCUCUCGCACCCAAAGCGAGAAUCAUGCCACUAGACCAAAUGCCCAGUUGCUGAUGUUGUGCUGUUCAGUUUAUGAUCAAUGUGGCUUAUUAAAUUGAGGUCUUUAUCACUUCUGAUCUCCUAUAGCUACUGUUAAUAUAAGGUGAACUUUCUUCAUUUAAAGGCCAUUUUUUCUUGGUACCACCCAUGAGAUUUGUAUGUGAUAUUUCGAACCUGAACAGAUUUUAGUAUUAUAUUGCUUACCUAAUAGAUUCAUAAUCUUAUGAUUGCCUAGAUAUGGAGUUGCUUGGUUCCUGGAUAGUAAGGACUACAAUGAUUAAUGGCAUCCAAUUCUCUAAGUCUUUGAUCAGUUUACUUUGCUUCUUGGUUGCCCAGAGAGUGGUGGAAAAAGAAAUUAAAUUUGAAACCUAAUAUGAAUUGGAGGUUGUAUGAUUUAAAAUAUUCCUUUUCUUCCCUAAGAUAUCUUUGCAACCAAAGCAUAUUUUUAGCCUCGAAGAACAAGUUGAGCUAGAACAUCAAAUCCUAUUUGUUGUCACAGCAAGAUUAAUCAGAAUGCUUGUGUAUCUUAAUUAAGAUUAAUCAGAAUGUCAUGCAUUGGGUGGUGACCUAACCUCAAAAUCUUCAGUAAUUACUGAAGUUUUGUUUGCUUAGUUUCCACGUAAUUGUUACUUCUACAAUGUUGUUGUGCACUGAAAGGUUGAGAUGCUAUUUUCAAGUACAUUUAAAUCAGGAUGCAGAUCAACUUUGAAAAGAGAUAAUUUUACAUAAGGAAAUCAUUGAUUUUUAUGUUUUUUUAAUUUUUAAUUUUUUUUAUUUUUGUAUGGUGAAAAGCAUGUUUUUUGAUCCAAGAAAAGGUCUGUUACUUUCUUAAUUUAUUAUUGGAGCAUCUCAUUGAUAACUCUUAGGUGUACAAGUUGACCAGAUCAGAAUGCUUGGUAGAGCACUUGGAAAAAUGAGCAGCAGACUGGAAAAUUUGGUGGAGAGCCUAAACACAGGGUACCAUAUCCCAAGAAAGAACUAAAUCUUUUGGCAACCAUGUGGAACUGGGUGGUUGGACUUCCGGAAAAUUCCCAUAAACUGAUCUCAACUACUUAUGUAAGAAUGGAUGGCACACUUGUUUUCCUUUUAUACUUUGGUUGUGGUAAACUUUUGCUUGGUUUAAGUUGAUUGAGUACUUGAGCCUGUUCUUCAAAUGAGCAACCACUUCCAAAUUUUUUCUAUGCCCAAGUGUUUGUGCCACGGUCAAGGCAGCUGGUGCUGGCUUCUUAUUAGCUCAUUGAUAAAGAAUCUUGUCAGUGCAUAAUUAUAUCUGGCCUAGCUAGAAGUUUCCUUGCUGUUUUUAAGUUGACUUUAGGUAAGAUUGCUCACAUAUUUAAAGCACAGUGAAAUAGAAAACUGAGCACUGUCUAGGUCAAUGAUCCCUGAUUAGUUUAUCUUGCUGUUUUUGAGUUGACUUUCAAUCAGAUUACUCUAAUAUUUAAAACACAAUGAAAUAGAGAACUGAAUAACUUACCAGAUUAAUGAUUCCUGAUUAGUACUCUGCUUAAACAUUUAAAAUAGAAUGAAAUAGGUGAGUGAAAAUUUAAAAAAACAAAAUAAAAUCUGUACAGGCAAAUGACUUCCUGAAUAAAAAGUGGGGCAUUCCGAGAAUCGAACUCGGGACCUCUUGCACCCAAAGCAAGAAUCAUACCACUAGACCAAAUGCCCGAUUAUUGAUGCAUAUUAGUUUUAUUUUUAGUCAAGUGUUUAGUUGAAUUUACAUCUUUUGCAGUUGAAAAUUUUUUCUGCAUGUUGACUGAAUGUACCUUUAGUUAUUAAUAUAUCAGUACAGUAGGCUGUAUGCUUGCUUAUAUAUCAUGUUAUACUCAUGAUCAUGCUAAUAUCUGUAACUGGAUUUAGAAUUUGUGGCAAUGGACUUUAUGUGUACUGUGUUGACUUAAUAUGAUGUUGAUCCAUAGGCUCUAGUGUUUAGUGCUUCAAUACCAGACUUGGGUCUGAAUUGAACCAUAUACUUGUACAUUUGCUCACAUGCAUGCACACACACAUGUGAGUUUGAAGAGGUUCUGGGUACUUGUAUGUUUUUUGUUCACAUAUUUUGAUUACUCGUGGUGUGUGUUUACCAAAACAACAUGUGCUAUUUCGGUGAGAGCUAUAUUCUUCAUUAUGCCACUAAUAUAGCUUGUUGAUGGUUCUUUUCUAUUCUAGUGGUUUUUAUUUGAGUUGAGGCUAUUGCUCAACAGGACAAGCUUUGUAAACUGUUCAUGAGGUCAAUUUGUAGGUGGGAAUCUCAUCAUGGAAAAAGGAAAAUUGUGAUGAUUUAAUUGGUCUUAUGUUGCAGUGAGUUGGCCUGGGUUAUAAUACUGACUCAAGUUUGUAUCAAAAUAAAUAAAUAAUAUAUAAUAAAAUUGUGAGUUUGUUUAAUCCCUGAUUUGGAUAGGGCAUUCUAAGAAUGAAAGUUGAGACAUCAUGCACUCAAGGGGAGAAUCCUACCACUAGAUCAAUUGCCUUAUCAUUGAUGGUUAUCUAUUAUCAGAAAAUUAGUGUGUUUCUGUGGUUGGCUGUAAUUGCAAUAACUUGGUUAGUUUUAAGUUUUAUUGGUUGCAACUGAAAAUGCUUGUUCUUUUAUUCUCCUCAAUUGGGAAACUUUUGAAUUGCAAGAAGAGGCUUUCCUUUGCCAGCAGGUGCUUAGAGGGUCCAAGAAAUAUGAGAGUAUUAAUCAAAUUUGAUCCCCAUUUUCUCCUGUGGAUCUUUACAGUAAUCUUAGAAAAAACAACAUUUCCUGGUCUUGAUCUGUAGAUCUUCUUGAGCAUUAUCUAUACCUUGCAAGGGACUUAGGUGACUCAUCUGAAGCAUUGGUCUUGAGAUCGAAGCGGUUACAUAUUUUUCCAAUAACCACUAGCUUGCAAAAAGGGUAAGAAUGCUUGUGGUAUUAGUAACUUCCAAAAGAUUUCCUGAAAUUGUUCAUGCUUCUUCACAUGUUGAUCCCUAGAAGUCAUGACUGCAGCCUAAGACAUGAGAUUUUAGUAGUAUAUGAAAGACAACCCUGUUGAGAAGAUAAGUGAUAAGUACCCCAUACAAAAAAUUAAGUGUCCUGAAUCACUAUGCUCUGCCUUGAGGCAUAAAAAAGUAGCAUAUUCUGUUGAGUAGCUUGAAAAUUUGUCAGAACACAAAUAAGAAGCUGAUGCUAACUGUCCAAAAGUUUGGUGGGGAUAAUCCUUUUUUCCAAAGUCUCAUUCCUAUAAUUUGUCAUUGGCAAGCUAAAUUUGUAUUUGGUUGGUGCUGUAUAAUCUGACUGGGCAUUCUCUAGUUCAUAAAUGCUUGUCUGGUGCUAUUCCUGAUUAAAAGUAUUCUGCCCAAAUAUUGGAAACAAAAUGAAAUGUUAUUUCUGUUUGGUGUGUGCUGUGAAACCCUCAGUGAACACUUUCCAGUUCCUGAAUGCUUGUCCAGUGCCUUUUCCUGAUCAAACUACACUGGUCAAAUAUAUAAAACAGAACGAAUAUUGAAAUGAAUUCCUGGUUAUAGUACUCUGUUCAAAUAUUUAAAACAGAUAAAAAUAUAGAUAAAAGAAAACUGCACUGGUUAAGGAAUUCCUGAUCAAAAGUGGGGGCAUUCCGAGAAUCGACCUCUCGCACCCAAAGCGAGAAUCAUACCACUAGACCAAAUGCCCAACUGUUGAAUUUUAUCAUAUUCAACUUAUGAUCAUUGUGUGUGAUUGGAAUCAAGGGACUAGUCACUUUUGAUCUCUUGUCACUCCUUUUAAUUUUUAAGUGGACCUUUAUUUAAAGAAGCAACCUGUUCCUGUUGCCUCACCUGUUUUGAGGUGUAUGUGUGGCUAGCAGGGGUUGAAUUUGAAACUUCUACUUCUGAUACUCUCUUAAUUUCAGAAGCCAUUAGAUUGCUUGAAUAGGUUUAGUUUUCAAGCUAAUUGCUUGGCUAGGGUUUGUGUUCAAGUUAAUUGCCUUGAUAGGGUUUUGUUUUCAAUCAAAUUGCUUAGAUAGGGAUUUGUCCUCAAGCUAUAAACUAUUACAGCAAGGAACCAACAGAAUGUCAAUUUCAUUCCAGUAUCAAAUGUUCCAAAUUGAUUCUUUUCUGAAUAUCUAUUUGGAGGAAGCGAAAUUGUCUGAUCUUGAACCUGAGGCUGCUAUAGUUAUCAGAUUCUUAUCCUGAGAAAUUGAUGUUGUUUCUGUGGCCUCUGCAAGCACAGAAAUCUUUUGUACCACAAUAGUGUUCAAUGUAUUUCUUCUCUUUAUUGAAUGGAACUGUCUUGGCAUUAAGUUCUAUUGCAGGCUUCAGAUGACCCAUCAGAAGCAAUCAAGUGUAGUCUGCAGUGUCAUUCUUCUUAGUGUUGGGCUGGAGUAAAGCAGUGUAAGAGUUGAAAGUGAAUCUUGUUCUGGUGGCAGUCCAAGAUUAAUCAGAAUGCUUGUUGAUGCUAUUUCCAAAUAAAUCAAAUGUUUUCUUGUAAAUAGGGUUGCUAUUCAAAUUCUAUCUUUGGUCAUCUCUGGUUGGUAAAGUUGAUUGAGUGAUUUGAAUAUGCUCUUUGUGGAUUUUUACUCCAUGUUCGUGAGUAAAUGCUCCUAUAUUUAAGUGAUGGUCAAGUCUUUUCUUUUGAGUUCCCAAGGAUGGAGCAGGAAAAUUUAAUGUAGCAUUCACCAAUUAAGGUGGGGCAUCCAGAGUUGAACUUGGGAUAUUUUGCACCCAAAGCAAGAGUCAUUUUAGUAGAUCAAAUGUGCAAGUGUUGGUACAUAUUUUGCUACAUCAAUGUGCUUGCUUCCUAUCACCAAUUGUAAUUGUUGAUAGUUUUUCAUGCAUGUUGACUUAAUGUGCAUUUGGUUGUUAAAAUAUCAGUACAGAGAAGUGGCCAAAACAACAUGACCAUAUUUUAUUCAGUAGCUUCAGAAAUCAUCAAAACUUAAACAGGAGCGCUAGGCCUAGGAUCCAAGAUUUGGGUGUGUCUAGCAUGCUUAUCUCUCAAGUCUCUUGUUUAUACAAUUGCUUGUUUGGCUUUAAGGUGAGUUUACUGUUCAGAUAUUUAAAAGAGAAGGAAAUAGAGAACUAAAAAAUGUAUAGAUGAGUGAAUUUCUCAUAAAAAUGGGGCAUUCCGAGAAUUGAACUUGGGACCUCUCACACCCUAAGCGACAAUCAUACCACUAGACCAAUUGCCCAUUUUCUGAUUUUUAUGUUUUCAUCUUCUGACCAAUGUGGUUGAUUGGAUUUAAAGGGAUUUGUAACUCAUGCUCCAAUUUCACCUGAUAACUUUGAGGUGAUCCACCUUCAAAUGUGCAGAUGUUGGUACAUAUUUUGCCAUAUCAAUGUGCCUGCUUCUUAUCACCAAUUGUAACUGUUGCUAGUUUUUGAUACAUGUUGACUUAAUGAGCAUUUGGUUGUUAAAAUAUUAGUAAAAAGUAGUGGCAAAAACAACAGGAGCAGAUUUUAUUAUGUAGCUUCAGAAAUAAUCAAAACAUAAACAGGAGUUCUGGGCCUUCAAUCCAAGAUUUGGGUGUGUCUAGCAUGUUUAUCUCUCAAGUCUCUUGUUUAUAUAAUUGCUUGUUUGGCUUUUAGGUCAGUCUAGUCUGUUCAGAUAUUUAAAAGAGAAGAAAAUAUAGAACUAAAAAAUUUAUAGAUGAGUGAAUUUCUCAUAAAAAUGGGGCAUUCCGAGAAUUGAACUCGGGACCUCUCGCACCCUAAGCGAGAAUCAUACCACUAGACCAAAUGCCCAUUUGCUGAUUUUUAUGUUUUCAUCUUCUGAUCAAUGUGGCUAUUUGGAUUUGAAGGGGUUUGUAACUUUUGCUCCAAUUUCUCCUGUUAACUUUUAGGCGACUCACCUUCAUCUAAAGGAGUGUGCUUUCUUGGUGUCCUCAACCUCCUAAGAUUUGGAUCUCACAGUCUGAACCCAAGUAGCCCUUAUUAUUAUGUUGUUUGUCUUAUAGAUUAAUAAAUAUUAUAGCGCCUAGAUAUUGACCUGUUUGAUCCCUGGAUACCAAGAGCUAGAAAUGUAAGAUUGUAUUCUGACCAAUUAAUGGUGCCCAAGUCUCUGAGUUGUUGUCAUCUUACUUUGCUUCUUUGGUUUGUCAGACUGGUGGAACAUGAGAUUAAAUUUGAUAACUUCCAUGAAUUGGAGGUUGUAUGAUUUGAAAUAGUCCUUUCCAUUUUCUUCACUGAAAUUUCUAGGCAGCCAGAGCAUAUUGUUAGUAUGUAAAGACAACAAGGUGAGCUGGAACAUUAAAUCUUGUUUGUUGCUAUGGACAGAUUAAUCAAACUGAUUGCAUCACUUGAUAAUUUUCUCUUGCAUUCCCUCAAAAUUUCCAGUUAUCACUGAAGUUUACUUGCUGUAGUCUCCACAUAAUUGUUGCUAAAUGAUUCUGUUACCUGCUGAAUGGUUAAGAUGCUACUUUCAGGAAAUGCUGGAUGUAGAUCUACUUUAAGAAAAACAUUCUAGGUUAGAAAAGCCAUUGAGAACUUCUUCUAUAUGGCUAAUGCAUGCUUCUCUAACCAAAUGGAAAAGUAUGUUCUUAGUUUAUUGAUGGAGUACCUUACAGUAAACUAUUUGGUAGUUGACUGUGUUAGCAUUACUUGAAAAAAUGACAGGAUGAGUUGACAGGACAGUUAGGUGGAAAGCCCAAGAGUAAAAUAUCAUAUCAGGUUGCAGGUUUGAUUUUGAGCUACAAACCUUUAUAUCUAGACCUGCUUCUUGUUUCUUCUCAAUUCAUGGAUGAAGAAUGUUGUCAACAGAGCUUUAUCUGGUCCAGUUGAAGGAUUUAUUUUCUUGCAGUUUGACUUCAGGUCUUUAUUGCAGUUCGACUUCAGCUCAGAAUCUUUAAACAAAAAGUAGAGAAUUGAUAAAACUGUCUGGUUAAAUAAAUUCCUGAUUGAAAUGGGGCAUUCCGAGAAUCGAACUCGGGACCUCUCGCACCCGAAGCGAGAAUCAUACCACUAGACCAAAUGCCCAAUUGCUGAUGUUUAUCUUGUUCAAUAUUUUACUAGUGUUUUUCUAUUAGAUGUAAGGGAUUUUUUAGACCAGUAGGUGCUCUUUUUAAUUCUUAAGUGAACAACCUUGAACUAAAAAAGCAUGGUUUCUUGCUUCACUCCUUCGAAGAUUUGGUAUUGUGUGGUGCUUGUGUCCCUAGCAGGAUGGAUGCAAAAGAUUCUCAAAAGUUACUCAAUCAUGCAUACAUGAUAUGCACAUGUACACACCACACACAUAUGGAUCUCAGCUUUUGAACCUGAAGUAAAUGUUUAGAUUCAUGAUGUUAGGGGUUGGCCAAUAGCCUCUCUGCAUAUGUAAUUUGCCUGUCCAUGGAUAGCAAGAACUAGAAAAGUAAAAUUCCUUCCUACCAAAUUAGAGUGACUUAAUUCUUCAAGUCUCUCAUCAUUUUACUUUGCUUCUUUGGUUGUCCUAGAUGAUGGGGGUAAAGAGAUGAAUUUGGAUGUUGUAUGACUCAAAAUAUUGGUUUUCUUGUUUCUUUCCGGGAAAAGGAAACUAAUAUUUGAAAUUUUGUAUGAACUUGGAGUUGUGUGAAUCAGAAUAUUGCUAUUCCUUAUUUUCUCAGAUUUCUCAGCAGCCGGACAAACCAUACCAGUAGCCUGUUGAGAAACAAGGUAAGCUGAAGGUGAAAUCCUGUAUGCAAGAUUAAUCAUAAUGCUCAUAUGGCUUGAAACUUUCCACAUGCUUUCCUUGGUGCUACCUCAAAAUUUAACUUGGAUUUUGUUUGCUGUAGCCUCUAUUUUUUGGUACUUUGUGAUGUUGUCAUUCAUGGAACUGUUAAGAUGCUAUUAAAUUAGAAUGUGGAUCAUCUUGAAAAAAAUGAUUUUACUUUGGAAAAUCAUCAAGAAUCUUCUGUGGAUAUUCAAAAUAUGUUACUUGUACCAACAAAGGAAGUCCUGCUUCUUAAUUUAAAGACCAAGUAUCUUCACAGGUAAUGACUUGGUUUACAAGUUGACCGGAUCAGAAUACUUGGCAUAGUUCUUGAAGAAAAUGAGAUGAGUUGAUAGGACUGUUAGGUGGAGAGCCCAACCAAAAGAUUCCACAUCCAAGAAAAGACAAACUUUCAGCAACUAUGUAGAGCAGUAAGGUGGGCUGCCAGGAACUUUCUAUGACCUGAAAUUACCUACUUAUACAAGAAACACUGACUUUUAAUUUUUUUUAAUCCCAUACUUCUAAUAGGUUUACCUGCAUAAGUCCUUGAAUUGGUUGUUCAGGCGAUGUGACACUGAACAAAUUCUUCCAUGUGUUCUAGUAUUGAGCUUAGGGGUAUGUUCUGGAACUGAGGCAGACAGUUUUCCCUGCUCUGUGUUGACAAUGAGGUUUCAGGUUUAAUUCUUGUCUGCUCAUAUUGAUUGCUUCUUUUUUCUCUUCAAUUCAUUGAUGGAGAAUCCUGUCAGAACACAGUUAAACCUUGACUAGUUAAAAUUUUUAUUGCAGAUGGACUUUGGGUCAGUCUACUUUGCUCAGAUAUUUAAACUAGAAUAAAGUAGAGAACUGAAAAUAUAUAGUUAAAUGAGCUUGUUAUUAAAAUGGGGCAUUCCGAGAAUCGAACUCGGGACCUCUCGCACCCAAAGCGAGAAUCAUACCACUAGACCAAAUGCCCAGUUGCUGAUGUUUAUGUUGUUCAGUGUUUGAUCAAUGUGGCUGAUUAAAUCUAGGAAUUUAUCACUUCUGAUCUCCUGUAGCUACUGUUAAUUUAAGGUGAACCUCCUUCAUCUGAACAACCAUUUUUUCCUGGUGCCACCCCUGAGAUUUGUAUCUGAUAUUUUGAACCUGAACGGAUUUUAGUAUUAUAUGUUUACCUAAUUGACUCAUAAUGUUAUGAUGGCCUGGAUAUUGAGUUGCUUGGUUCCUGGAUAGCCAGGACUACAAUGAUUAGUGGCAUCCAAGUCUCUUGAGUCUUUGGCCAGUUUGCUUUGCUUCUUGGUUGCCCAGACAGUGGUGGAAAAAGAGAUUAAAUUUGAAACCUUACAUGAAUUGGAGGUUGUAUGACGUAAAAUAUUCCUUUUCUUCCUAAGAGAUCUUUGCAGCCACAGCAUAUUGUUAGCCUCUAAGAACAAGUUGAGAUAGAACAUCAAAUCCUAUUUGUUGUCACGGCAAGAUUAAUCAGCAUGCUUGUGUAUCUUGAUAAUUUCCUCCCGCAUUAGGUGGUGACCUAACCUCAAAAUCUUCAGUAAUUACUGAGGUUUUGUUUGCUUAGUUUCCACGCGGUUGUUAAUUUACUUACUUUACAAUGUUGUUGUGCACUGAAAGGUUAAGAUGCUAUUUUCAAGUAGAUAUAAAUCAGGAUGCAGUUCCAGUAUGAGAAGAGAAAUCAUUUUACACAAGCAGAAUCAUUGGAAACUUUUUUUUUUUUUUUUUUUUGGGUAUUAUGACAAGCAUGUUUUUUGAUCCAAGAAAAAGUCUGUUACUUCUUAAUAUACUGAUGGAGCAUCUCAUUGGUAACUCUUAGGUGUACAAGUUGACUAGAUCAGAAUGCUUGGUAGAGUACUUGGAAAAAUGAGCAGCAGACAAGAAAAUUGGGGGGAGAGCAUAAACACAAGGUUCCAUAUCCCAACAAAGGACUAAUCUAUUGGCAACCAUGUGGAGCUGGGCAGUUGGACUUCCGGAAAAUUCCCAUAACCUGAUCUCACCUACUUAGGUAAGAAUGAAUGGCACACCUGUUUUCCUACUUCACUUUGGUUCUGACAAACUUUUGCUGGUUUUAGUUGAUUGAUUACUUGAGCCUGUUCCUCAAAUGUGUGACUGCUUCCAAUUUUUUUCCAAUAUCAUGGCCAAGUUUGUGUGCUACAGCCAAUACAGCUGGUGCUUGUUUCUUAUUGAUUCAUUGAUAAAGAAUCUUGUCAGUGCAUAAUUAUAUCUGACCUAUGUAAAAGUUUCCUUGCUGUUUUUAAGUUGACUUUAGGUAAGAUAGCUCAAAUAUUUAAAACACAAUGAAACAGAAAACAGAACACAGUGAGGUCACUGAUCCCUGAUUAGUUUCUCUUGCUGGUUUUGAGUUGACUUUCAAUCAUAUUGCUGCAAUAUUUAAAACACAAUGAAAUAGAGUACUGAAUACAGGUCAAUGAUUCCUGAUAAGUACUAUAUUCAAACAUUUAAAACAGAAUGAAAUAGGCAAGUGAGAAAUAAAAAAAUAAAAAUCUGUACAGGCAAAUGACUUCCUGAAAAAAAAAAAUGUGGGGCAUUCCGAGAAUCGAACUCGGGACCUCUCGCACCCAAAGCGAGAAUCAUACCACUAGACCAAAUGCCCACUUGUUGAUGUUUAUGUUGUUUGGUUUCUACUUAAUGUGUUGAUGGAUUCCCUUUCCCCCAUCCUCCAUCAUGAUAGUAUCUCUACCAGGACAGUGCUGAGAUGAAAAUACAAAUUAUCUCAUUUUUUUAACUUGAAACAUCUGUUAAUAUUAUAUUGUCUAUCUCAUCAUUCAAACUUUGUGGUGGCCUUUUCAGAUAUGAAGCUGAGUAGGCUCUGGAUAGCAAAAACCAGAAUAAUAAAAUUGCAAUCUAGCCAAUUAAUGGCACUAAGGACUCUGAGCUCGUGGUCAUUUUCCAUUGCUUCUUGGUUACCCAAACCAUGGAUAAACAAAGAAAUUAAGGUUGAGAUCUUUCAUGAGUUUUGGAGUUUGUAUGCUUCAAAAUAUUUUUUGCCAUCUUUUCUUUUCUUCCUAACAUUCGGCAACAGAGCUUUUUGUUAGCCUGCAGAAAAACAAAAUGAGCUGCAAGGUUGAGUCCUCUUUGUUGCCAUGACACUUAAUCAGAAUGCUCAUAUAGCUUGAUAAUUUCCUCUUGCAUCAGAUGGUGAUCUACCCUCAAAAUCUUGAGCUUCUAUGAUGCUAUUUUCAAGAGCAAUUAAAUCACAAUGUGGAUCAUCUGUAAAGCAAAAUCAUACAUCAGGAAAAUUGUAAAGAACUUCCUUUGUAUGAUUAUAAAUAUGCUUCAUUAACCCAAAGUUUGAUUUUUCUUUCUUCUUAAUUUAUUGGAAUAAUAGGCUGCUUGUAAAUAUGUGAUUUACAAGCUGACUGGGUUAGACUUCUUGGUAGAAUACUUUCAAAAUAGAUAAGCAGCUGAAGGAAAGUUAGGUAGAGAGCUCCUAAACAUGAGAUGCCACAUCCCAAGAAAGGACAGAAUCUUUUGACAACCAUGUGGAGCAGUGAAGCUGGACUUCCAGAAACUUCCUAUGACCCGAAAUCACCUACUUUGGUAAGAAAGGAUGUUCUAGUUAUGCUCUAGUUGUCAAAUUUUUCUGGUUUUAAUUGAUUGAGUACUUGAAUUUUUUUGUUCAAAUGAAUGCCUGCUUCCUUUUUUUCUAGAAUCAUGACUAAGUGUAUGUGCUUAGGUUGAGGCAGGUGAUGCUUGUUCCUUAUUAAUUCAUUGACAAAGGAUAUCAGGGCAUGCUGACUUCUGUUCUCAACAAAAUUUUCCAUUGUAGUUCUUCAGUUGACAUUAGAUCAGAUUAGCUCAAGUAUUUAAAACACAAUGAAAUUGACAACUCUACUGUAUGGGUCAAUGAAUUUUUAUUUUAUUUUUUUUUAGAAAAAGUACAGGUGAAUUAAUUCCACAUAAAAAGUGGGGCAUUCCGAGAAUCGAACUCGGGACCUCUCGCACCCAAAGCGAGAAUCAUACCACUAGACCAAAUGCCCACUUAUUGAUGUAUGUGUUGUUUUGAUUCUGAUCAAAUUUAAGGGAUCAGUCACUAUUGAUCUCCAACUGCUCCUGUUAAUUUUUAAGCGAAACUACCUUCAUCUGAAGGAGCUUACUCUUCUUGGUGCCCCACCACCUGAGAUUUAGUAUUUUGUGAUGCCAAUGUCUUUAGCAGGAUGAUGUAGAACAUGAUAAAAUUACAUCUGGAUCUCAUAUUUUGAACCCAAAACAUCUGUUGGUAUUAUAUUGCCUAUUUCAUAGGCUCAAACCCUGUGGCAUCCUUCAGAGACAAGGAGUUGAUUUGGCCCUGGAUAGCAAGAACCAGAAAAGUAAAAUUGUAUCCUAAGUUCCUAACCAAGUAAUUGCACACUCAAUUCUUUGCCCAUCUCAUCGUUUUAGUUCUUUGGUUGCCCAGAAUAUAGAGGAAAAAAGAAAUUUAUUUUGAAACCCUUUCAUUAAUUUGGAGGUUGUUCUCUUCCAAAAUAUUCCUUUUCCUUUUUUCCUGCUUAAGAUUUCUCUGCAGCCAGCACAUACUGUUUGCCUUUGGGAAACAAAGUGAGCUGGAUGGUUAGUUCUUGUUUGUUCCCAUGGCAAGAUUAACAAAAAAGCUUGCAUAGUUUGACAAUUUCCUCUUUUAUCAGAGGGUGGCAUUCAAUCAAAAUCUACUUUGCUGUAGCUUCUGCAUAACGUUUACUUUCUAAUGCUGUUCAUUGUUAGGAUGCUAUCUUCAAAUAUGAUCAAACUGGGAUGCAGACCAACUUUUAAAAAUCAGGAAAAUCAGAGAGAAUUUUCGUGGGGUCAAAGUGUGUCUCCUUGAUCCAAAGAAAAAGUAUGUUACAAAGUUAAAGUGUGUUCCUUUGACCCAAAAAUGAAGCCUAUUUACCUCCUUCUUACAAGACCGAAUUAGAAUGCUUGGUGCAGUAGUUGAAAGGAGGAGCAGCUGAGAGGAAAGUUAGGUGGAGAGCCCAAAAUCAAAAUGUGACGUCUCAAGAACAGAAUCUUUUGGCAGCUGUAUAAAGCAGUGCAGCUGGACUGUCAGAAACUUCUCACUGCCCAAAAUCAAUUGGUUAGAAGAAUAGAAGUUGUGUGAUAUUUCAAUAUUGGACUGGGGAAGAAGUUCCUGACACUAUAUAUAUAUAUAUA